rnacentral:rRNA from 1 species
AGAGUUUGAUCAUGGCUCAGAAUGAACGCUGGCGGCGUGCCUAACACAUGCAAGUUGAGCGGUAAGGCCCCUUCGGGGGUACACGAGCAGCGAACGGGUGAGUAUCGCGUGGGUAACCUACCCAGAAGUGGGGGAUAGCCUCGGGAAACCGGGGGUAAUACCGCAUAAGGUUUCGACGACAUAAGUCGAUGAGAGCAAAGGCGGGGAUCCUUCGGGACCUGUCGCUUCUGGAUGGGCCCGCGUCCGAUUAGCUAGUUGGUGAGGUAAUGGCUCACCAAGGCUGCGAUCGGUAGCCGGCCUGAGAGGGUGAACGGCCACAUUGGGACUGAGACACGGCCCAGACUCCUACGGGAGGCAGCAGUGGGGAAUCUUGGGCAAUGGGGGAAACCCUGACCCAGCGACGCCGCGUGGAGGAUGACGGCCUUCGGGUUGUAAACUCCUGUCAGGUGGGAAGAAAAGCUUGUCGGAUAAUACCCGGCAGGAAGGGACG